ensembl:miRNA Gm23263 predicted gene, 23263
GGUCCUGGUCCUGGUCCUGGACCUGGUCCUGGUCCUGGACCUGGUCCUGGUCCUGGACCUGGUCCUGGUCCUGGUC